rnacentral:lncRNA from 1 species
AUGCUUGGUGAUUGCUCGCUUGAUUCCCACCAAGCCAGUCCGCCCUUCCUCCUCCAGCCGCCUUCUCUGCUUUGGACAAGAAUCUCCCUGCGUCUCUCCAUUCCAUCUGGCUUCUUUUCUUGCCUGAGACUACACCAAGGACUUGGAUCAAAACCACGGAGAGAAUGGGGGGAGGGCAACGAUGCCUAUUCUGGGACAUCCCCUCCCACUGUCCAGUCACUAACUAAUCAGUCUCUUCUUUAUAUUAGAGACCUUCCUGAGGCCAGGAAAAGUAAGAAUCUCCUCUGAUGUUCAAGCAAGAGUUAGACAUUUCCCUUGCCACGGCUAGUUGCUUCAUCUGUGCUCUCCAUCCCCUCCCCUCAUAACUUUUCCAUGAACUUGCCCCACACAUCAUCCACUCUCUCUCAUCUUCAGUACCUCACUAACUCUUACUCAGGGGUACAUGUCUAUCUCAUUCAUAAGAAACCUCAUAUGACCCUGCCAUAGUUUGAUAUCUCCUCCUCUUUUUCACAGCCAAACUUCCAGAUAGACUUGUCCACACUGCUACCUCCAUUUCUUCACCAUCCAUUCACUCCUCUUCCUCCACAUCCACUCCAUCCUUGCAAUUUGGCUUCAGACUCUACCAUUCGAUGGAAACUGCUCUCUCCAAGACUACCAAGGAUUAUUUAGGUAUUCAAUUUUAUAUACAUAUAUGUACAUAUGUGUGUGUAUCUAUAUACACACAUGUACAUGAACGUGUGCAUGUGUCUAUGUAUAUGUUGUCGUUCAGUCACUCUCAGUGGUGUCUGACUCUCUGUGACCUUUGGCAAAGAUACUAGAGUGAUCUGCCAUUUUCUUCUCCAGCUCAUUUUACAGAUGAGGAAACUGAGGCAAACAAGUUAAGUGACUUGCCCUGGAUCAUGCAGCUAGUAAGUGUCUGAGGCUAGAUUUGAACUCAGGAAGUUGAGUCUUCCUGACUGGAGGCCGGGCGCUCUAUCCACUGCACCACCUAGUUGUCCCAUAUGUGUAUACAUGUCUCUGUGUGUGUAUGACUAUUACCAAGGAUCACUUAAGUUUUCAAUUCCAUGUCUAUAUAGAGAGAUUCUCCACAAUCAAUGGCCGAGUUCUUAGCUCUAUUUCCACAAUCUCUCUUGCACCUGCCCUAUUCUCUCUUUCAAACAGCCACUGCCUAAGUUCAGGUCCCCUUCCCCUCUUGACUUUUGUAAUAAAUAACUUCCUAACUAAUCUCUAUGCUUCCUG